UCAUUAUCCCUACAUGCUGCAGGUCCCUAUUAAAGUUCGUGAUGGAAUUAGAGUGCAGAAUGAUGGAUUUAAAGGUAUCAUAAAACCCUUCCUGGUAAAUAAUAGUCCCCAAAUAUAUUUCAGUUGUGACCUGAGAGGCUGCUGGAGGCAUCCCAAGCAGCCAUGUAUUGGCUCUGCAGACCGGUUGAGCUGAGGAAAUUAAUUUGCAUAUGGUUGUCAUGCUAAGGAGGCAGGCCAGCCCGGAUUUCAUUACUGCUAAUGACGUGUGAGAGAAGUGAUUUAGUUUAUAGCCAGUGCCAGGCGUGGCAUAAUGAGGAAGUACUUAAUUUGUACAAAGCUGUUUCUUGCUUCUAAGACCUGAAAAUCAAGGGAUUUCAAGCAGCUCCAGGAGGCCCAGUGUUACGUGUCAUGGUCUUGUUAGCACCGGGGGAAGAACAGAGUCGUAACUGAGAUGAGGAAAGGGGGGAGAAGGAAGCUUCAAGAUUUAGUGUUGAUGUUGUGCAGGAAAGGAUAGGAGGAGAAAUGAAAAGGAAUGAAAACGAGAACAGAAGAAAGAGCAACUGAGAAUGGAAAACCAGCAGGCAGAGCUGGCUCUGCGGGAAUCGUGGCUGCCAAGGCUGGACAGCUGGACUGUGGAGGUGCCAGAACUUUUACUCUGAGUUGAGUCAUUGCUUUACUCUGCCCAACUCAAAAUGCAGUUGUAGGAAGGCAGCAUGUGGACUUCACCAUCUACAGGUUGUUAGGAAGACGAUUUGUCAUAAAAGAAGAAGCAGAAAUCAGUCAAAUCUGCAGAUCUGAAGAGCAAAGCAGGAAAGUUCCCUUCAGACGUGGAGGUACUUCAUGGCAAGUUGUAUGGUGGAAGCAACUUCCAAGGGAAGCACAUGUAACAGUUGUCCUGAGAAGAAGUAGCGUGAUUCAUCAGUAAAUCAGGGUUCAUUUCAGAAAUUCACUCCAAAUGGGACUGUGUCCAAACAACAACGAAAACCAGGGGAUCAGAAUAUAAGGCCAUGACAGAAAUGUGUUAUCAGAACAACCUGGUGAAAGAAAUGAAAAUAAAACCGCAAUAAAUGGAUAACAAUAACAGCAAAAUUCUGCAGCUUCUGGCCUGCCAGGAGGUGUAUGCCCUGGGACCUCUCAGAUUGCCAGAUGCACAGUGCCUGUCUCGAGAGCCACAGGUACCCUGUCCCCAUCCCCUGGGCGCUGGCAGCUGGGAAUCCGGGGUGAGGCAGCGUGACAGCGUGUGGCGCCCGGCAUCACCGGCACCCCGGAGCAGUGGUGUGGGUGGUGCUGGCGAUGACCACCAUGUGUGGGGAGCCGUAGGGAGCUCUGUGGCCCUGGAAAUUUUUAAGGGCUCGUAAUUUACUGUUCCUUCUAGUCCCUAAUUCAAUUCUCAUUUCUAGAAAUCUGCCCUAGGGCUCCUCUAUAACCUGUAGCUUGUUUAAGGAAAAAUUUUUAUCCAGUACUCUGAUUAGUUCCAUGUAAAGUUGGAACAUACCAGGAGUUACAGCAUCUAAUUUCAUGUUAAAGGACAGUGCAGGAGUUAUGAAAAUAUAUAAAAAGAGCACCAAAUUAAAGAAGCAUGGACAGAAGCUAGGGUUCAGUGAUGUAGCUUACAUGAAAAAUGCCAAUCAAGAACAUUAAAGUAUGAAGAAAAGCUUCUGGAUGAUUUAUAGGAAGACUGCAGCUGCUAAAUCCCCCCUCACCUCACCAUAUGUAAUCCUCAUGUUAUAUCAGACUUCAUGAAAUUACCCUGUAUUUAAAUGUAGAUUUUAAAGCUGGGCAAGCUGGAGCUUGUUCCUAGCUUAAAAAGGUCGGAUGUGCUGCUCUACAAUACCUUGUCAUCUUCUUUUGCAGCCACUUAAUAUGACUGUAUAAGGAAGAACAUUGCGUCUCAUGUCUGUUGUAGGGCUAAUCAAAUUUACAGCCUAAUUCUAGGGAGUUAAUGCUAUUGGGGAUUUGGAUGAGCUGAGAUUUGGUCAUUACAAAAUUUCAGCUGUGUUUAAUGCUAGUUAUACUGCUUUAUCAUUCAGAAGACAGACUAUAAUUCUUCUUUAAAACUACUUUUCCCCCAAAUAAAUGAAAAUAUAUUGCUAUACUGUAUUUUUCUCCGCUUGGAUUUUUACAGAUAUCUAAAUGUCAGCAAAUAGCAAUUUCAGAGCAGAAUUAAUCUCCUGGGCUUUUCAAUUCUCUUUUAAAAAUACAGCAAACAUACUCUAGUGAAAUAAAAAUGGAGAUAGUGUGUUUAACAGCUUGAUUUCAAUGCGCCUUCUCCAUCAGCCACAUGAUAUGCAAUGAAAUUCCAAUUGGUAGUGCCAAUGUGGUUAGAGAGACACACAUUUAGACUUAAAAUGUACAUUAUGGGUGUUUGUAUGCUAUAUGCAUUUUUAUGAGCAUUUAUUAAGUAGAAUUAUAUUUCUAUUGCAGUAUUUUACAGUUUUAAUGGUGAACAGGUGAUGGAGCAAGUUAUUACACCAUCACAAGUGGGUUCUCAGAAAGAUUUCUGGAGCACCUUACAAACUAAAAAAACCCACAGCCCUAUAAAAAUCUCACAGUUUCUUCAGCCAAAUAUUUACAAUGUACUUUUUUUUUGGUCCAGGUUUAGAUUCAGCUCUGUAUUAGGGGGAUUUGGAAGAGCUGGCCUCCAACUCAAGAAGCACAAUUAAACUGGAAGAAUUUUAAAAGGUUAGAUGUAACUUGAAAGAUCUUAUCCCAUCUCCUGAGCUAUAAACAACUCCUUUCUCAUAACUGUGAGAGUCAUCCUAUUGAAAGGCUCUGUGCUCAUCCUAUUGAAAGACCUGUACUGAAACCUCAGACACCAAAAAUUAAAUCUGCUCCCUUUUCUUUGGACAGGCUGUGUGAAAUGUAGAAGAAAACAAACAAGUAAUUUUUUAGUUAUUUGGACUCCAGUUACAUAUUUAGAAGAGUUUUUGGUUAAUGGAAUACUAACUGUUUUCUUCAGGGCUGCUUCUCUUUCCAAAUAUUCUGCUGUAUUUCCUUUUCAAUUAAAAAAUGGGGAGUGCUUGAGUUUUUGAGUUUUUUUUUUUUUUUUUAAGGAAAAAUCCAGGUGCUCUCUAUGUCAUCUA